rnacentral:rRNA from 1 species
UACGUAGGGUGCGAGCGUUGUCCGGAAUUACUGGGCGUAAAGAGCUUGUAGGUGGUUUGUCGCGUUGUUCGUGAAAUCUCACGGCUCAACUGUGAGCGUGCGGGCGAUACGGGCAGACUAGAGUACUGCAGGGGAGACUGGAAUUCCUGGUGUAGCGGUGGAAUGCGCAGAUAUCAGGAGGAACACCGGUGGCGAAGGCGGGUCUCUGGGCAACAACUGACGCUGAGGAGCGAAAGCGUGGGGAGCGAACAGG